GCACUUCUCUCAGGUCAGCUAGCAAAUAAAUGGUGACAUAAGAAUAAAUGUGAAGUUGGGACAGAAUUAUUAACUCUUAAAUGCAGGAUGAAGGGAAGAUGAAGACUUAAUAGCAGCACAGCAAAAAUUAGGAGUUUUAGUUAGUGAUAUAUUUAAGGACAUCAACAAUAUAAUGUAGUUAUAAAAGCUAUUGUAAUCUUGAACUUAAUAGAAGUACAGUAUCUAGAAUAAACAAGAGCUACAUUUUUUUCUUUGCUCACCAGGCUGUCACUGAAAUUUCAUGCUCCAUUCUGAGCACUAUGCUUCAAGAGGCAGUGAGGCAAACUGGAACAUAUUUAGGAGGGAGCGUCCUUGUUGCAUGAAAAGUGAUUGUAGGAUAGUGACCUGGUGAAGAAUGCUUUGUGUGGAAAGCUUCAGUGUGAGAAUGUACAAGAGAUACCUGUAUUUGGAAUUGUGCCUGCUAUUAUUCAAACGCCUAGUCGAGGCACCAAAUGUUGGGGUGUGGAUUUCCAGUUAGGAUCAGAUGUUCCAGAUCCUGGGAUGGUUAACGAAGGCACAAAAUGUGGUGCUGGAAAGAUCUGUAGAAACUUCCAGUGUGUAGAUGCUUCUGUUCUGAAUUAUGACUGUGAUGUUCAGAAAAAGUGUCAUGGACAUGGGGUAGG
rnacentral:sRNA from 1 species